rnacentral:rRNA from 1 species
AGCGAACGCUGGCGGCAGGCCUAACACAUGCAAGUCGAACGAACCUUUCGGGGUUAGUGGCGGACGGGUGAGUAACACGUGGGAACGUGCCUUUAGGUUCGGAAUAACUCAGGGAAACUUGUGCUAAUACAGAAUGUGCCCUUCGGGGGAAAGAUUUAUCGCCGUUAGAGCGGCCCGCGUCUGAUUAGCUAGUUGGUUGAGGUAAUGGCUCACCAAGGCGACGAUCAGUAGCUGGUCUGAGAGGAUGAUCAGCCACAUUGGGACUGAGACACGGCCCAAACGCCUACGGGAGGCAGCAGUGGGGAAUCUUGCGCAAUGGGCGAAAGCCUGACGCAGCCAUGCCGCGUGAAUGAUGAAGGUCUUAGGAUUGUAAAAUUCUUUCACCGGGGACGAUAAUGACGGUACCCGGAGAAGAAGCCCCGGCUAACUUCGUG